rnacentral:lncRNA from 1 species
UGAACUUUUGUAAAAUUGGGUUGUUAUUUUUGAUUUUACAGAUUCGAUCCAAAUUUUCAAUAAACUAACCAAAAUACCUUUAUUAUUUUUUCUCUUUUCUCUUUUUUUUUUCCUCGUUCUUUUUUUCUCUCUUUACGACCGUCGCUCCGACAGCAUCGGCGAUGCGGCGCUGGCGGCCGUGGCCCUCUGCUGUCCCGCCCUCCGUAAGCUCUCUGUUGCCUCCUGCUCCUACGGCGUCCCGUGCAUCCUCGCCGUCGUACGUAGAUGCCCGCUCCUCAAGGAGCUCUCCCUCAAGCGCCCCCGCGGCCUUGACUCCCCGCUCCUCGUCCUCACUCCGAUCCAUCUGGUGGUGAAUAAUGAAAAGUAAACAAAGAUGCAGAGGAUAGAAAAAAAAAUAAAAAAUAAAAAAAUAAAAAAAUUUGUCUCUUUGAAAAAUUAUUAUGUAAUGUUACUAUUAUCGGACAAGGCCAAAAUUCAGAUAAAAAGAAAGAAGAAGAGCAAAAAAUCAGAGAAAAAGGAAAAAAAAGAUGAAUGUUGCACUGUUAAAAUUAAAUUGCACUAUUUUUAAAAAAAAAUUACACUGUUUAAGAUGAAUGUUAUACUCUUUAAAAUAAAAAUUACACUAUUUCGCCAAAUUUUAUACUAUUUCACCCAAAAUUGCACCGUUUCUCCUUCUCCUCCUCUUCCUCUUCCUUCUUUUUUUUUACACCAUUACAC